UGUUGUCGAGCGACGAGAGUACGCCGUGCGUGUGUCAGUACAGGCCGCUUUAAGGCGAAACCGCGAAUGGCUCAUUAAAUCAGUUAUGAUUCAUUUGAUUGAAUCCUAUUACUCGGAUAACCCUGGUAAUUCUAGAGCUAAUACGUGAUCUGAGAAACUCCGACUUUACGGGAGGAGUGCUUUUAUUAGUUGAAAACCAAUCGGGCCUCGGUCCGUCAAAGCCAAUCUGUGACGACUCUGAAUAACUUUGUGCCGAGAGCACGGUCUCCGGACCGGCUCCGUAUCUUUCGAGUUUCUGCCUUAUCAUGCUGUGGAUUGUAGGCCAUGCGCCUACAGUGGCUGUUACGGGUGACGGAGAAUCAGGGUUCGAUUCCGGAGAGGGAGCCUGAGAAACGGCUACCACAUCCAAGGAAGGCAGCAGGCACGCAAAUUACCCAAUCCCAGCUCGGGGAGGUAGUGACGAAAAAUAACAAUGCGGGACUCUUCCGAGUCUGCGUAAUUGGAAUGAGCACACUUUAAAUCCUUUAGCAACAACCGAUUGGAGGGCAAGUCUGGUGCCAGCAGCCGCGGUAAUUCCAGCUCCAUAGCGUAUAUUAAAGUUGUUGCGGUUAAAAAGUUCGUAGUUCGAGCUGAGUUCCGGACUGGCCCGGGGAGA
rnacentral:rRNA from 1 species